AAUGGAAUACAAAGAGAAAGCAAAAAGAAGUCAGCAAAGGAAAGAUAAAAAUGAAGGAUCAGGAGGGCUAAUAUCAGGUAAGUAAAGGCGAGGUAAGGGGAAGGUGACGAGCAUGGGGGCAAGGAAGGGGGCAAGGAAGGGGGCAAGGAAGGGGGCAAGGAAGGGGGCAAGGAAGGGGGCAAGGAAGGGGGCAAGGAAGGGGGCAAGGAAGGGGGCAAGGAAGGGGGCAAGGAAGGGGGCAAGGAAGGGGGCAAGGAAGGGGGCAAGGAAGGGAAAAAUGUAAAGGAUGAAAAAGAGAAUCACAAAGGAAUGCAAAGAGAACUAGCUUGAAUAGGGCAGGAAUGGAAAAGAAACAACAAAAGGAAAAAAAAACAGUGGAAGGAAAAUUGAAAGGAGCAGUAAAGAAAAGCAAAAUGGAAAGGGGAAAAGAAAAAAAGCAGAACUAGAAGGCAUAGCAAAGCAGUGAAAUACCAAGGAAAAGAAAAAACAGAAUAGGGUAUCAUGGCAAAACAAAGGACUCAAAGAAAUUCAACAAGAAAAAACUGCCAUCCAAAAUUGUUCAAAGAAAAAAAUAAUGACCAUAAGGAUACAAGCAAAGCCACCGACAGAAAAGCAAACAAGCAAAGAAAGGAAACCAAAGCAAAGCGAGAAAGCCAUGAAGCCAUGCAAAAUGCAAAGCAAAG
ensembl:lncRNA